rnacentral:rRNA from 1 species
UACGGGGGGGGGCAAGCGUUGUUCGGAAUUACUGGGCGUAAAGCGUGCGCAGGCGGUUGUGCAAGACCGAUGUGAAAUCCCCGGGCUUAACCUGGGAAUGGCAUUGGUGACUGCACGGCUAGAGUGUGUCAGAGGGGGGGUAGAAUUCCACGUGUAGCAGUGAAAUGCGUAGAGAUGUGGAGGAAUACCGAUGGCGAAGGCAGCCCCCCUGGGAUAACACUGACGCUCAUGCACGAAAGCGUGGGGAGCAAACAGG